rnacentral:rRNA from 1 species
UACGAAGGGGACUAGCGUGGUUCGGAAUUACUGGGCGUAAAGCGCACGUAGGCGGUUUUGUUAGUCAGGGGUGAAAUCCCGGGGCUCAACCUCGGAACUGCCUUUGAUACUGCAAAUCUCGAGUCCGAUAGAGGUGGGUGGAAUUCCUAGUGUAGAGGUGAAAUUCGUAGAUAUUAGGAAGAACACCGGUGGCGAAGGCGGCCCACUGGAUCGGUACUGACGCUGAGGUGCGAAAGCGUGGGGAGCAAACAGG